rnacentral:rRNA from 1 species
AACGAACGCUGGCGGCAGGCUUAACACAUGCAAGUCGAGCGCCCCGCACGGGGAGCGGCAGACGGGUGAGUAACGCGUGGGAACGUACCUUUUGGUUCGCAACAACUCCGGGAAACAGGAGUUAAUACCGGAUAAGCCCUAACGGGGAAAGAAUUAUCGCCGAAAGAUCGGCCCGCGCCUGAUUAGCUCGUUGGUGAGGUAACGGCCCACCAAGGCGACGAUCACUAGCUGGUCUGAGAGGAUGAUCAGCCACACUGGGACUGAGACACGGCCCAGACUCCUACGGGAGGCAGCAGUGGGGAAUAUUGGACAAUGGGCGCAAGCCUGAUCCAGCCAUGCCGCGUGAGUGAUGAAGGCCUUAGGGUUGUAAAGCUCUUUUAUCCGGGAAGAUAAUGACUGUACCGGAAGAAUAAGCCCCGGCUAACUUCGUG